AUGUGUAAAUGUCAUCUUUCUUGUCUUCCAUCACCGUGGCCCGACCGAUGCCCCCGGAGCAAGCAAAAGAUCGACUCCAACACCGAGGCUCAUGGUCCCUGUCCCAGGACUGUCCAACCUAAACCCGGACAGGUUCGUACCCUGGCGCGCUCCAGUUGGCCAGGUUCUGGCCAUUGUCAACCUCAGCUGGCCACUCCCCGAUGUGGCGAAACCACAGGUAUAAGAGAGAAGUGCAGCUUUCACUCCAGACACAUCCACUGCAGUGAUCUGGGAGAAAAACCCUGCAUCCAUCUGUCUCCCCCCGUCACUCUCGAAGCUCGAAGACAUGAAGCUGCUGCUGGCUGGACUGCUUCUGGUUCUGGUUCUGGGAAUCCAGGCUCAUCCACCUAG
rnacentral:lncRNA from 1 species